rnacentral:rRNA from 1 species
GGUUAAGCGACUAAGCGUACACGGUGGAUGCCCUGGCAGUCAGAGGCGAUGAAGGACGUGCUAAUCUGCGAUAAGCGUCGGUAAGGUGAUAUGAACCGUUAUAACCGGCGAUUUCCGAAUGGGGAAACCCAGUGUGAUUCGUCACACUAUCAUUAACUGAAUCCAUAGGUUAAUGAGGCGAACCGGGGGAACUGAAACAUCUAAGUACCCCGAGGAAAAGAAAUCAACCGAGAUUCCCCCAGUAGCGGCGAGCGAACGGGGAGCAGCCCAGAGCCUGAAUCAGUGUGUGUGUUAGUGGAAGCGUCUGGAAAGGCGCGCGAUACAGGGUGACAGCCCCGUACACAAAAAUGCACAUGCUGUGAGCUCGAUGAGUAGGGCGGGACACGUGGUAUCCUGUCUGAAUAUGGGGGGACCAUCCUCCAAGGCUAAAUACUCCUGACUGACCGAUAGUGAACCAGUACCGUGAGGGAAAGGCGAAAAGAACCCCGGCGAGGGGAGUGAAAAAGAACCUGAAACCGUGUACGUACAAGCAGUGGGAGCACGCUUAGGCGUGUGACUGCGUACCUUUUGUAUAAUGGGUCAGCGACUUAUAUUCUGUAGCAAGGUUAACCGAAUAGGGGAGCCGAAGGGAAACCGAGUCUUAACUGGGCGUUAAGUUGCAGGGUAUAGACCCGAAACCCGGUGAUCUAGCCAUGGGCAGGUUGAAGGUUGGGUAACACUAACUGGAGGACCGAACCGACUAAUGUUGAAAAAUUAGCGGAUGACUUGUGGCUGGGGGUGAAAGGCCAAUCAAACCGGGAGAUAGCUGGUUCUCCCCGAAAGCUAUUUAGGUAGCGCCUCGUGAAUUCAUCUCCGGGGGUAGAGCACUGUUUCGGCAAGGGGGUCAUCCCGACUUACCAACCCGAUGCAAACUGCGAAUACCGGAGAAUGUUAUCACGGGAGACACACGGCGGGUGCUAACGUCCGUCGUGAAGAGGGAAACAACCCAGACCGCCAGCUAAGGUCCCAAAGUCAUGGUUAAGUGGGAAACGAUGUGGGAAGGCCCAGACAGCCAGGAUGUUGGCUUAGAAGCAGCCAUCAUUUAAAGAAAGCGUAAUAGCUCACUGGUCGAGUCGGCCUGCGCGGAAGAUGUAACGGGGCUAAACCAUGCACCGAAGCUGCGGCAGCGACGCUUAUGCGUUGUUGGGUAGGGGAGCGUUCUGUAAGCCUGUGAAGGUGUGCUGUGAGGCAUGCUGGAGGUAUCAGAAGUGCGAAUGCUGACAUAAGUAACGAUAAAGCGGGUGAAAAGCCCGCUCGCCGGAAGACCAAGGGUUCCUGUCCAACGUUAAUCGGGGCAGGGUGAGUCGACCCCUAAGGCGAGGCCGAAAGGCGUAGUCGAUGGGAAACAGGUUAAUAUUCCUGUACUUGGUGUUACUGCGAAGGGGGGACGGAGAAGGCUAUGUUGGCCGGGCGACGGUUGUCCCGGUUUAAGCGUGUAGGCUGGUUUUCCAGGCAAAUCCGGAAAAUCAAGGCUGAGGCGUGAUGACGAGGCACUACGGUGCUGAAGCAACAAAUGCCCUGCUUCCAGGAAAAGCCUCUAAGCAUCAGGUAACAUCAAAUCGUACCCCAAACCGACACAGGUGGUCAGGUAGAGAAUACCAAGGCGCUUGAGAGAACUCGGGUGAAGGAACUAGGCAAAAUGGUGCCGUAACUUCGGGAGAAGGCACGCUGAUAUGUAGGUGAAG